ACCUCUUUGGUCCAGUGGUUCUAAAUAGUUCAACAGUCUAUACCGAAAUUGUGAAAUGUUUAGGACCACUUGAUCAGCG
rnacentral:pre_miRNA from 1 species